AUACGUAGGGAGCGAGCGUUGUCCGGAAUUACUGGGCGUAAAGGACGCGUAGGCGGCGCUUCAAGUCGUCUGUCAAAUGGGAGGGCUUAACCCUUUUUCGCAGACGAAACUGGAGAGCUUGAGAAGCAGAGAGGCAAACAGAAUUCCUGGUGUAGCGGUGAAAUGCGUAGAUAUCAGGAAGAAUACCAGUGGCGAAGGCGGUUUGCGGGCUGCAUACUGACGCUGAAGCGCGAAAGCCAGGGGAGCAAACGGGAUUAGAUACCCCGGUAGUCCUGGCAGUAAACGAUGUAUGCUGGGUGUGAGACUAGCGAUAGUUUCGUGCCGAAGUUAACGCGAUAAGCAUACCGCCUGGGGAGUACGGUCGCAAGAUUGAAACUCAAAGGAAUUGACGGGG
rnacentral:rRNA from 1 species